rnacentral:tRNA from 1 species
AAGUCUUAUAUAUUAAAGAAAAUUAUUAAAUUGCAAGUUUAAAGAUGAUUUGUUCUAAGACUUAC